CCUAAAGAUCUUACUACCAAGGCUCAUACUAGCAAAACUCUUUCCUUUUUAUUAUUUGAUUAGUUUUUGGGGUAUCUGAAUUCCUUUGAACAUUUCCUGUUAUUUUAUAUUGUUUGUUUAAAGUUCUGUAACUUUGCUCAGAGCUUUAGAUUUGUUUGAGCGAGCUACCUCUGAGAGUGAUCAUGAUAUUUUAUUUUGUGAUGGUCUAAUCUGUAGAAUUGUCAAUAGCUGAAGUCGUAUCGAGAGCUUUGCAUUUCAAUUAAAGAUCUUAUUUGUGCGAAAUUAGAGAUUUAUUUGUUCUUUGUUCAUAAAAGAAUGUGUUGGAACUUCUUUUUAACUGUUUAGAGAUUCGGAAGGACAAUAGGAUUUCAGUUUGGACUUGACCAAUUUCCAGAUAUACUACAGCUAUCGACAUGUGGUCCUUUGGGUGCAUUGUUGCUGAACUCUUUCUAGGGUUACCAUUAUUCCCAGGAGCUUCAGAAUUUGAUCUUUUGAGGCGAAUGAUUGAAAUACUUGGAGGACAACCCCCAGAUUAUGUUCUAAAAGAAGCAAAAAAUACAAGCAAAUUCUUUAAGUGCAUUGCAAGUGUCCAUAAUAUGGAGAGUGGUGAAGUUCCCACUGGUGGCAGAUCUGCUUACCAAGCAUUGGCUGAAGAAGAAUAUGAAGCU